UUGAUGGAGAGUUUGAUUCUGGCUCAGAGUGAACGCUGGCGGCGUGCUUAACACAUGCAAGUCGAACGGGAUCCAAGGAGCUUGCUCCGAAAGAUCUAGUGGCGAACGGGUGAGUAACACGUGAGCAACCUGCCCCGAAGAUCGGGAUAACACCGGGAAACCGGUGCUAAUACCGAAUACCUCCCCUUGGUCGCAUGGCCGAGGGAAGAAAUGUUCUUCGCUUCGGGAGGGGCUCGCGGUCCAUCAGCUUGUUGGUGGGGUAACGGCCCACCAAGGCAACGACGGAUAGCUGGUCUGAGAGGACGAUCAGCCACACUGGAACUGAGACACGGUCCAGACUCCUACGGGAGGCAGCAGUAGGGAAUCUUGCGCAAUGGGCGAAAGCCUGACGCAGCAACGCCGCGUGAGGGACGAAGGCUUUCUGAGUUGUAAACCUCUUUCGACAGGAACGAUUGUGA
rnacentral:rRNA from 1 species